rnacentral:rRNA from 1 species
AUUGAACGCUGGCGGCAGGCCUAACACAUGCAAGUCGAGCGGAUGAAGGGAGCUUGCUCCUGGAUUCAGCGGCGGACGGGUGAGUAAUGCCUAGGAAUCUGCCUGGUAGUGGGGGAUAACGUCCGGAAACGGGCGCUAAUACCGCAUACGUCCUGAGGGAGAAAGUGGGGGAUCUUCGGACCUCACGCUAUCAGAUGAGCCUAGGCCGGAUUAGCUAGUUGGUGGGGUAAAGGCCUACCAAGGCGACGAUCCGUAACUGGUCUGAGAGGAUGAUCAGUCACACUGGAACUGAGACACGGUCCAGACCCCUACGGGAGGCAGCAGUGGGGAAUAUUGGACAAUGGGCGAAAGCCUGGUCCAGCCAUGCCGCGUGUGUGAAGAAGGUCUUCGGAUUGUAAAGCACUUUAAGUUGGGGGGAAGGGCAGUAAGUUAAUACCUUGCUGUUUUGACGUUACCAACAGAAUAAGCACCGGCUAACUUCGUG